CGCGGCAUCGCCCCGCGUCGAGCACCUCCUGUGCGUGCACGCUAGGUUUGGCAGCGUGGCAGCCACAUCAGCACCCGACCCCACCUGUCAGCCGCUGUGGCUAGCCGCUCCCACGGUACGAGAUGACGACGUUAGCAAGGUUACCCUUCCGGCUUGGCCUGGGCAGGGUUAUGGAUGCCAUCGCUUAUCUUCAGGACUCUUAGUCCAAUUUGUAUCUUGUCCGUACUCGGACUUAUUCGGUCUUCUGUAUGAUUUGGAUCUUUGUAUUGUGUAUUUGUAUCUUGACUCGUUGGAGUCGUUGUUGUAAUGUAUCUGUUUCUUGUGGGCUC